rnacentral:rRNA from 1 species
GUCCAGACUCCUACGGGAGGCAGCAGUGGGGAAUAUUGCACAAUGGGCGGGAACCCUGAUGCAGCCAUGCCGCGUGAAUGAAGAAGGCCUUCGGGUAUAAAGUUCUUUCGGUGAUGAGGAAGGUGUUUGUUUUAAUAGAUCAAGCAAUUGACGUUAGUCACAGAAGAAGCACCGGCUAACUCCGUGCCAGCAGCCGCGGUAAUACGGAGGGUGCGAGCGUUAAUCGGAAUAACUGGGCGUAAAGGGCACGCAGGCGGUGACUUAAGUGAGAUGUGAAAGCCCCGAGCUUAACUUGGGAAUUGCAUUUCAUACUGGGUCGCUAGAGUACUUUAGGGAGGGGUAGAAUUCCACGUGUAGCGGUGAAAUGCGUAGAGAUGUGGAGGAAUACCGAAGGCGAAGGCAGCCCCUUGGGAAUGUACUGACGCUCAUGUGCGAAAGCGUGGGGAGCAAACAGGAUUAGAUACCCUGGUAGUCCACGCUGUAAACGCUGUCGAUUUGGGGAUUGGGCUUUGAGCUUGGUGCCCGUAGCUAACGUGAUAAAUCGACCGCCUGGGGAGUACGGCCGCAAGGUUAAAACUCAAAUGAAUUGACGGGGGCCCGCACAAGCGGUGGAGCAUGUGGUUUAAUUCGAUGCAACGCGAAGAACCUUACCUACUCUUGACAUCCUAAGAAGAACUCAGAGAUGAGUUUGUGCCUUCGGGAACUUAGAGACAGGUGCUGCAUGGCUGUCGUCAGCUCGUGUUGUGAAAUGUUGGGUUAAGUCCCGCAACGAGCGCAACCCUUAUCCUUUGUUGCCAGCGAUUUGGUCGGGAACUCAAAGGAGACUGCCGGUGAUAAACCGGAGGAAGGU